GUCGGAUUCCAAGUUUCCGGAUUUUCAGGGUGGUGCCGAACGCGCCUAUACCCUGUUACCCACUGCACUAUCAGGUGCCAACAUCGUCUACGAAU
rnacentral:ncRNA from 1 species